rnacentral:rRNA from 1 species
UAACUUUCAACAACGGAUCUCUAGGCUCUUACAUCGAUGAAGAACGCAGUGAAAUGCGAUAGGUAAUGUGAAUUGCAGAAUUCCGUGAAUCAUCAAAUCUUUGAACGCAAAUUGCACUCUCUGGUAUUCCGGGGAGUAUGCUUGCUUGAGGGUUAGUU